rfam:Triticum aestivum genome assembly, contig: Triticum_aestivum_CS42_TGACv1_scaffold_405425_5BL
UAUAUACUCCCUCCGUCUAGAAAUACUUGUCGGAGAAAUGGAUAAAAAUGAAUGUAUCUAGGACUAAGAUACAUCUAGAUACAUCCAUUUCUCGGACAAGUAUUUCCGGACCGAGGGAGUACAUA